AUGAGGAGCUGGGGUCCCACGGGUGGUUUGAUCUUCCUCCUUGUGGUGGUGGUUCUUCUCCAUCGUGUGCGGUGUACACCUCGAGUGUUUGAUAGUGUGAUUAGAGUGCACGGCAUCAUCUUCAUCUGGACUCUCACAGCGUUUGCUCAAGAGUGUAGAGGACAGAUCACCGUCACUCAGAGUCCCUCAAUGACAGCAGCUCAACCAGGACAAACUGUGAACAUCAACUGUAAAACCAGCACAGAUGUGUAUUAUAGUAGUUCUUAUGGACAUUAUUUAGCCUGGUACUUACAGAAACCUGGAGAAGCUCCUAAACUCCUGAUUUAUUUAGCAAACAGCCGUCAGUCAGGAACUCCAUCUAGAUUCAGUGGCAGUGGAUCUAACAGUGAUUUCACUCUGACCAUCAGUGGAGUCCAGACUGAAGAUGCUGGACAUUAUUACUGUCAGAGUGUACACUACAUCAACAGUAAAUGGAUGUUCACACAGUGAUAAAGAGUCGUACAAAAACCUCCGUCAGUCAGAGUCACAGUGACUGAACUGAUACUGCAGCUGCUCACACACUUUCACACACUUUCACACACUACUGACACACAGAGGACAAACACAGGAACUACACAUGUGCUCAAAACUGACUUAUGACUGAAAUCAGCUCUAUUAGACUGUGAUCUGUCCUGUGACAGACGGGUUUGACUCAAAUAUGCUCAGAAUCAGAGAAAACAGAGUGUGUAAAUUGAUAUGUAGAUUCAUAUGUUGUUUUGUUUUUGUACAUUAAACUACACUAAAGUCAUGGUGUAUCAGUAACAUGCAGAUGUUUUUCAAGCAGCUCCUUCAUCUAAAGCUGUUUAUAAAUGUAUUACUCAUAACUCAUUUCUCAUGAGCAGAAGUGAAAGUGUUCCAGUUGAGAGCGUUGAACCAAUCAAAGAGUGAAACUGUGAGUUUGAGGUGAAAAUCACAUUUGCAUUGGCAGGUUUAGUGAUUGUGAUCCUCUCAGAAUAGAGCAGCUCCGUCUCCAGUGACCAUGUUCAAACCCCAAGAGCUUCAUUUGACAUUUCCUGCUAAAUGCAGCUGUUCUCAACUAUUACAAUCAAUCAAAAGCAGCUGAAACUUUAGUGCAGGACUUUGAAUGAACGACACACUGAUCAAUGAUGCAGUCGGACACAAAUGUAACGCGUUCAGAAGCUUUAUUGAAUGAACAGCAAUGGCAGCACAUUGAAAGACUGCUUCAGUAUUGAGCUGUAAAUCACGUGACUGCUGUGAAUCCUGCCGGACGCUCAGAUACGGCUCGUCUGGACCGGAGAAACAUCAGCACUGGGAGCUCU